rnacentral:rRNA from 1 species
CCUACGGGAGGCAGCAGUGAGGAAUAUUGGUCAAUGGGCGAGAGCCUGAACCAGCCAAGUCGCGUGAAGGAUGACGGCCCUACGGGUUGUAAACUUCUUUUGUCGGGAAGCAAGUGGGUCCACGCGUGGGCUUAGCGAGAGUACCUGAAGAAAAAGCAUCGGCUAACUCCGUGACAGCAGCCGCGGGAAUACGGGGGAUGCGAGCGUUACCCGGAUUGAUUGGGUUUAAAGGGUGCGUAGGUGGAAAAUCAAGUCAGCGGUAAAAAUUCGGGGCUCAACCCCGUCGUGCCGUUGAAACUGAUGAUCUUGAGUGGGCGAGAGGUAUGGGGAAUGCGUGGUGUAGCGGUGAAAUGCAUAGAUAUCACGCAGAACUCCGAUUGCGAAGGCAGCAUACCGGCGCCCAACUGACGCUGAAGCACGAAAGCGUGGGUAGCGAACAGGAUUAGAUACCCCAGUAGUC